CCUACGGGCGUCAGCAGUGAGGAAUAUUGGUCAAUGGACGAGAGUCUGAACCAGCCAAGUAGCGUGAAGGAUGACUGCCCUAUGGGUUGUAAACUUCUUUUAUAUGGGAAUAAAACGUUCCACGUGUGGGAUUUUGUAUGUACCAUAUGAAUAAGGAUCGGCUAACUCCGUGCCAGCAGCCGCGGUAAUACGGAGGAUCCGAGCGUUAUCCGGAUUUAUUGGGUUUAAAGGGAGCGUAGGUGGAAUGUUAAGUCAGUUGUGAAAGUUUGCGGCUCAACCGUAAAAUUGCAGUUGAAACUGGCAGUCUUGAGUACAGUAGAGGUGGGAGGAAUUCGUGGUGUAGCGGUGAAAUGCUUAGAUAUCACGAAGAACUCCGAUUGCGAAGGCAGUUCACUGGACUGCAACUGACACUGAGGCUCGAAAGUGUGGGUAUCAAACAGGAUUAGAUACCCUAGUAGUC
rnacentral:rRNA from 1 species